ACUCAAAUUUUAGUACUGUCACUGCGCUUCCUUUUCCGGUCUGGCUGUGGUGAAAUAGGUUCAUUGUGAAAGAUACCUGCAACAAUCCAACAAAAUCAACAAAAAUGAUCAUCUACAAAGACAUUUUAACAGAUCAAGAGAUGGUGUCGGAUGCCUACCCCAUGUCCGAGGACAAACCAGUGAGAGGCAUGAUGACAUUUAACUGUAGGAUGGUGAAAGAGGAUGGUGUCGGAGAUUAUGAUAUUGGUGCAAAUGCUUCUCAAGAGGAGGAAGCAGAACAAUUGCAAGAGGCUGAACAACAAAUGGUAGUUGAUAUUGUCUCAGGUUUUAAGUUAGUGGAGACUCCAAUGGCAAAGAAAGAUUUCAAAAAUUUUAUAAAAGGAGAAAUUAAAGAUAUGCUGAAAAAAAUAAAAGAAGAUAUGGCUGAAAACAAUGUACCCGAGGAUAAGAUAAAGGAUAAGGAGGAUGCUUUCCAAAAAGAUGCCAUGUCCAUGGCAAAAUGGAUUUUAGAACGUUACGACGAUGUCCAAUUGAUGAUUGGUUCGGAUUACAAAACAGAAUGCAUGCCUGGAUUUCUCAUCAAUAAAGGAGCAGAUGACAUACACAUGUAUUACUUCAAACAUGCCUUGGUACAGGAAAAAUGUUAAUGGCACAUUUAAAAAAGGACACUUGGCACCAUUGAAAGUUCAUCCCUCAUUUACAGCACUUCUAAUUAUGGAAACAUCCUCCAGCCUUCCAAGUUUGCUGCUGUUUGGACUUUGUGGACAAUACUAAGUUACAACAUUUGACCAAACAUUCUGAAUCGAAAUUCACCAUAGUAUAAACAUAUUCAUGGACAUUGUUGAUCAUGAGAUAUAAACAGACCCUUGUGCAUAUGUUGUCAUUGUAAUAAUAAGGAGCUCUUCUGCGAAGCCAAAAUAAUCUAUAUUAUUUUUAAAUUGUGCACAGAGGACUUCAAAACGCACUGUGAUAUAUUUAAGUUUGUUUGCCUCUGUGCAUAACAACAUAUGCACAUACCAUCAUAGUUAUGAUUACUAGGAUUUGCCUGCAAUGCAGUUGUUACCAUAAAAAGUAAUGUAAAUUAUGGAGCAAUUCAUUGUUGUAUAGUAUUUCAAAUCAAGCUUUACUUUAAAAAGAAAGAAAAAAAUGCUUCUUGUAGCUGAAAAUCUAGAUAUUCAUAUUUGCUGCAUUUUAUAAUAGAAAACCCUUAAGCUUCCCUUAAAAGUUUGAAGAGCUUCCAUUUCAUUUUGAUAAAAGAACCUAACAAUCUUCCAACAAAUUGCAUGCUUAAUUAAAGAAAAAGUAAAAGAGAA